UGCUCAGUGGAAGUAUUUCUUAACAGCUAUGGUACCCUGACCAUACAAAGGUAGCAUAAUUAAUUGCCUCUUAAUUGGGGGCUAGAAUGAAUGGUAUGACGAGAUUACUACUGUCUCUUUUGAUUUCUAUUGAAAUUGUUUUUGUGGUGAAAAAACCUUAAUUUUAGUACAUGACAAAAAGACCCUAUAAAGCUUUUUUGAUUAUUUAGGAAAUUUUCUUUAUAUAGAAUUAAGUUGGGGCGACUCUAGAAUGGAAAAGGCUUCUAGUAAUAAUAAGUGAUAAACAAAUUUGUGACCAGGAUAAAAUUUUCAUAUUAAAGGUAAAGUUACUUUAGGGAUAACAGGGCACUUCUUUUAUUGAGUACGUAUUUAUUAAAGAGUUUGCUACCUCGAUGUUGGAUUAAGGUAUCCUAAAGGUGUAUCCGCUUUUGAGGGUUGGUUUG
rnacentral:rRNA from 1 species